rnacentral:rRNA from 1 species
UACGUAGGGUGCGAGCGUUGUCCGGAAUUAUUGGGCGUAAAGAGCUCGUAGGCGGUGUGUCACGUCGUUCGUGAAAACCUGCAGCUUAACUGUGGGCGUGCGGUCGAUACGGGCAUCACUGGAGUUCGGCAGGGGAGACUGGAAUUCCUGGUGUAGCGGUGAAAUGCGCAGAUAUCAGGAGGAACACCGGUGGCGAAGGCGGGUCUCUGGGCCACUACUGACGCUGAGAAGCGAAAGCGUGGGGAGCGAACAGG